rnacentral:lncRNA from 1 species
CAAUGUCUGCUUUUGUGACAGCGACAUUGCCAGUGGUGUAAAAAUCUAUGCAUCUGUCAGGUUUCCCCAUGUGAAACAUAAUUGCUUAAUUUCCAUUUGAAAGUACAUCCCUGACAUUAGAACAACGUAGACGCACCAAGGAUAACAAUGAUUUCCUGACACCUAGAAUGGGGCAUAAUGCGGUAAUAAAUAAGUGUGCAGAAUGAAUGCUCUGCACACAGAGGGAGCAGGUCUGAAUUUACAGCUGCAGAUGAAGUGUUCCUCAGGAAAAAAAAUUAAAAAAAAAAAAAAAAGAAAAAACCAACAGAUUAGCAUCAGUGUGAGUCUAUGUCAACCAGAUGGCUUGCUGUGGAAAAAGAGCUUCCCUGCUUUAUUCCAGUAACCCUGGCUAGCAGGCUGAAUGUCUGAGAUGAGAAGAGAAAAAUGAUCUCAUUCAGGACUUUUUUUUUCCCUUUGCAUACAUGCAGCUUGAGCUGAAGAAGAGAAAAGCUCUGAAAAGAGCACAGAAAUUGUCCCUUAGUGGUGGCGUGUGAGACGUGGUGGACCACAGAGAGCUCAUGGACAUGGGUUCAAAAAUGCAGAAAGCACAGCAUGAAAGCAGUGCGUCACAGCCAUUCUCAAUGUACAGCGCAUGAAGAUGGGCACCCACUGCCCGUCUCAAGUCAUCCUCACACUUGCUUCCUCUUGACCACACAGAAGUGAUUUUGAUGAAGAGGAACAUGGACAUCCAGAGCAUAUGUCUAUUCUCUCAAAACAUGCCAACACGAUCCCUUCAGUUUGAAACGGAUGGAUCAAAGCUUUGAAGUCCAUUUGUACUAAUGGAUCCGGAUCCAGCUUGUAGAUACCUGACCUCAUACUACAUGUUUUUUUAUUAAAUAGUCUCUUGGUGAAUGUCAUACUAGCAAACCAAAGUUUGGAGGCUCUUUCCUCAUUGAAAAGGCAGCUGCUGUGUCACAGUGUUAUAUCCCAUCAUCUUUGUAUUAGCAGCCAAAGUGAAAGGCUCUAGACUGUAUUAAAAAAAAAAAAAAGUAAUAAAGCUUCAUCUUUUUUCAUUUUGGGACUCAAAGCAAAAGCUCCGAACAUUCUGUUUACCAUUUUUAUUACACAAUAUUGGCAUUCUUAAAGUCUGGAAUGAAACCUUUUUUCGUUUUUUUUUUUUAUUCAUUAAAGUGCUCAGUAUCAAUGGACUGUUUCUUACUUUCCAUGUAUUACGACAAAACAUUAAGCCGAGGAUAUCUGUUGCCAUUGUUAAAGCACUGCGUUCUUGUGUGACUGGAAAUCCACUCUCUUCAUUGCUCCCUUUUGUACGCCCUCCAUGAAGCCAACUGGCUUCAGCUGUUGACAGAUAACAAGUGAGAACAAGAAGAGGUGUUAAAAAAAACUGCCAGGAAAGUCUCCAAGCAGUGCUCAGUGUGAGCAGACCUCUCUCGUUAGCCACCCCAGGAGAAAGCUCUGGCCAAAGCAACACGCCUCCGUCUCAGAUGCCUGUGCUGUCCUGUGAGACUCCUCGUUCUUCUGGGCUCUGCUGGUCUGUUGAGUCCAGCUCUGUCUGAUAGAACUGCUGCUUUGCUUCUGAUUCCUGUUGUUGCCUGCCGCAUUGUGAGUUCUACACACCACGCAGCAAAAGAAGCAAUGACAAAUCUGAGAGCUGUGGAGUGAAACUGUGCUAGAAUUUGCUAAUGGGAGAUGGAGGAAGACGAGCAUAGUGAAACAUGGCCAGGCCCAGAGAAUGCAUGUGAGGUGGCUUGAAGAAAUGUAUCAGACCAAGGGAAUAAGAAGGUGAAAUCCUGAGAAUUAUGUCCCAGCUGUGACAUGGCAGACCAGAGGUGAUGCUUUAGAAGCACAGGGUGUAUGCAUUCUUAUAUUCCUUUGCCCUCUUUGUAUCUGAACUGACCCAUCUGCUUCCACUCCCCCAGGAAGCCAACAGCAGUUUCAAAACAUCCCUAGGAGAUUCCAGGAGUGUAGAACAAAGGACAUACUCAAAAACUCAGUGAAGGUCACUUGUGAUUUUGAAGCAAGACUGCUGUAGGUAAAUGGCUCUUGGAGAGGCAGGUAAUUCGGCAUCAGCAGGACUGGUUGCCCAUGCAGCUUGGGAGCUGAUGGCUUGUUCUAUGCAAAGUAAAUGAGCCUCAUACUAAUUUGUCAUCAGCCCAUAAAAAUGUGAACUCUACUGUGACCAAACCAGAUUAGUGCUGUACUCAAUGGCAGCAGUGCUCAGAGCAAAUAAGGCCAAAUCAGGUCAUAAAACCCUUUAACUUGUUUUAAAGUGUCCCUCGUAGUGCAUUGGAUGAAAUCUGGCUUUCAACAUGGUUUUGCUACUGUCACAACCCAGCAGAGAUGCCCUUUAGCUACAGUUGGAUUUAACGCUGACAUCAAUCUCUGUUGACAGAUCCCAUUGCUGCUGUGUGGGUCCAUCAGGCUCAGCAUAGCUUUUCACUGGCAUCAGCAAUCAUGAGAUUUGCCCCAGGAAUGUCCAGGAACCAGCUGCACACCCAAGUCAACAAAGCCACUGCUUCUGCCAGCGCUAAACAGAGGUACAGGAAGGUGUAAAUCCUGAGCCUAAGUGUUCAAAGGGGUUGCCUCAACUACUCCACAAACCUAUAGGCAUCCACAGAAAAAUCACCUUUGUGUGCCUGAGCAACUUGUCUCUGUAUGUUGCUUUCCUCUCCUGUCAGUUCUGCCAGUUAUACUGAGUGUAAAAGCCUGGUUCCAGUUAUCUGUCCCACAUUUAGCAACCAUGCUCUCAUUGCUCUUGAGCUGCAGCAGAGAGGACGGGACCAAGUUGGUCGAAGAAUCUCUAGCUCCUCUGUAGCUCAGCACUCUCUAGGUAAAAUACUGAACAAAAAAAGAAGGGGAGCCUGCCAGUGAAGAAGUCCAAACAGAGAAGGCAGUGGAUAUUCUACUCUUUCCAAGUCAUUACUUCACUCAGCACAGCCUGUUAUUUGGAGAGCCCAUGGAAAGCUGUCCAGGCAGGGAAGCAUGCUGUUGCUGAGAGGUCUGCCUCUAUCCGUCAGUAAUGGGUGCUUGUGUGAGCAGAGCAUUUGCAAGGAAUUUUACAAGGUGAGUGGUAGGGGAAUCUGAAUUUUGGGUGGUGGAUGGAAAUACUAAGUAAUGUGAGAAUAAUUCUGUUCAUGUGACCUAUGUCUGUGGGUGGCAGCAUUUGCACCUCCAUUACGGUUUCCCUUGACGUGUUAGAUGUGCUCAGUUGUGCCCCUGGAGCACCAACACGCUGAUUUGUGUGUUGAACUGACUGAUCAUAUGAACACCCCUCAGUGAAACCUUCAAAAUAGCCUGUUUUAGGUAAUAUAAAAAUAUCCUUCGUCGAAUGACUGCUUUAGGCAGAAGUGAUGGGAAAGAAUACAUUCAAGUUGGUUUGUUCUAUUUGAUACUUCUUUUUUCCUACCUAAAAGCUGUUGGGAAGAGUGUGACUCUCCAUCAGUGGAGCUCUGUUGGCAGUUUCAAUAGAUGUAAGUUGUAAAACGAGCUGCGCUUUGGCAUUUUAUCACCAACAGCCCAAACCAGCAGCAGUCCAGGAUGGAUCCCAGCCCUGAAUCAUAAGCAUGAAUCAAAAAGAAAACGUGAUACAUCGCUUAGCUUCUCACUGUUGCUACCUGCAAUAUUAGCAGUGCUUCCUGAACCACUACGCCAUAUAAAACCUUGAACGGGAUAUUCCCCACACCCCAUUCCACGGACAAAAUAAAGGCUUACCUUCUCCACUGGCACUCAUGCACUUUCAUGCAGAAAUAAGGACUAAGCUGACAGGGAGUGCAUUGUUUGUAAGGAGAAGAAGAGGAUGAAGAUGCGUAGCAGUAUGGCUACUUUCCCUCUUGUGACCUCCCCUGUCUUAUGAUCCUCACUCUGAUGAUGGUAAUUUACAGGAGAGAAGAGUACACCCCCUUGUAUCACAGCAAGCAUCACUUUGGACAUCUCUGCACUAGGUUUUCUCUUCUCAUUGAGCAGCAUUUUGAAGUCAAUUCUCCACAUGUACAAUUAGUGCUAGGCCUUUAUACUUGGUCAGCAAAGAGUUACAAAAUUAAAUAUUUUCAACAAACCAGCUAAUGUAUGCCCUUGUGUAAGCAGCUCUUGCAAGAGAAGAACAAGUUCAAAAUAAAUCAUUACAUCAAUUACUUUGUGUCUGUGCACAAGUUACUAAUUAUCUCUGAAUAUAAACACCAAUAAAGAUAGAGACUAUUUCUAAGUAUUUACUCUGUAAAUUGUCAGUGACCUGACUACUUGGCUACUACAUUAAAUGAUUGUUUCUCUGUGUUAAUGUAUUCCAGGCUGCAAAGUCCUGCCUGCUCUAAAAUUAAAGAUCUGAAUUCAGCAGAGCAAAUGGAUAUUACCUUGACUUGAAAGUGUUGAAAUUUCUGGAACUUGAGGUCUUGCUUGUAGUAUCUACUGAUGGAUGACAUCUAUUUCAAAGCAAAAAUUCACUCAUCCCUACCUGAAUGGGCUCCUCGGUCACGGGGAUCAUGACCUCUUAGGAGGUAAGUCCCACACCAAGUCCAACUGGCUAAUCUUGGUGCAUGGUUAGCAAUGGGGACGGUGACUCAAUAUUUACAUCCUGUUUCUCCAACUUGAUGGAAAGAAAUUCUAACAAAAAAAUAAAAUAAUAAAAUAAAAUAAAAUAAAAUAAAAUAAAAUAAAAUAAAAUAAAAUAAAAUAAAAUACUUGAUCCCUUUGACCCAUUGAGGUCAAUGGAAAAACUCCCAUAGAUGUGAUAUGGACUCAGAUAAAGACUUAGUCUCCAUUUCCAUUGAUGGUAUGGAUGUUCAGCCACUGAAAUGAUAAAAAGAGACACAUAUGCUGAAUUAGAAAAAUUCUCAUUUCACAAAUUGCUCAGAUACAAAUUUUUAGUUUGUUAUUUUCUACAUGAACAAAUGAAAGAUAAAUGGAAAUGAUCUCUAAAUUCUUGUCUCAGUACACUGAAGAGAGAGCAAGAACAUCAGGUUGCUAGAACUGAUGGCUGAAGGAACUCUGUUCAUCCCAAAUUUUCAGCCAGUUAUUUCAUUUCAUUUGAUCACCAUCCAUUUAGUUUUGUUAAAUGGAAGAAAACUCAUUGUUUAAUAUUAAUAUUAAUAAUAAAUAUUAUGGACAUUGACCAAUCAAUCAAACUUGGAUGGGCUCAGAGCAAGUAUUUGUGAACUGUGAGCAAAGAUUUCUAUGUCAUGCAGUGGAGGUGUACGUUCAUGGACUGGGAAUUUAGGCUUCUGCUAACAAGAUACCUCCAAUCCUUUUCUGCUCAGUGAUUCUUCCUGCUCAUGGAAAGUAGCGUGCUGUAGUGGGAUGGGGAGAGAGAGGAGAUAGUGCCCUGCAGAACUGGACCCGGUGAGGAUGUGGAUCAAGACUCAGGAAUUAAGGAGUAUUCUUGUACUGCCACUUUAGCUGUAAUCAGAGAAUCUCUUUGAAAUCCUACUUUAAGUGAAAAAUUAAAGGUGUACAUUUGUGGAAGUAACUCCAAAUUCAAGGUUCUAAAGUAAAGAAAUGCAAAGUGGGCAGCAAAAUACAUGUGCCAGACACCUCAGACUGGAGUGACUAAAAAACACUUUCUAGCAAGUGCUGGGUGGGACUUUGCUGAUUUAGUGGGCUCCAGAUUGGAAACAAAGAAAUACCUACACCACAAAUGCCUUCCUUGUUGUGAAGGCUUCUUCAUAUCUAUUUCUCCUGUCCGUACAACAGUUGCAGCACUUAUUCAGUGGAACAGAAACAAAGACACUUAGAAGGUUUUCCAGACAUUUAAUCAACCAUCAUCUUCAUGGAAAGAUAGACAAGGUGUAAUUCCGAAUAAAUUCUUAGGAACAUGGACAGAGCUAAGAUCACUGUAAGGUUGCAUUAAUGAAAGGAUGUUUGAAUAUGGUCAUUGGCAGUGCACCUUUACUGACACUUCAUUCAGCACUAAAACUCCCACUGGGAGCAGCUAUGACAAAUAGACAUACAUGCAUACCACAGAUUAUACUGGGAAUCUUGGGUGCUCCUUUGAAUGGAGAGUGCCAAAAGGCAAAAGACCUCCAGAAGAGCUGACAUUCCGUAUUACACAUUUUUUUUCCAUAAAUCAUAUAUUCGCAAAGGCUCUUCUUCAGGUUGUUUUUGUUUCUUUUGUUUUUGUUUUUGUUUUAUCCUCUCCAUACUUUCAGUCCACAAAGAAAGAAGUAAAAAGAUAAUCCUGAACUCCAGUAUGGACUGCUUUGUUCAUGGUUCAGAUGAAUUCUCCUGCUUUAAGAACAAAAAUUUGAUGAAUUUCCUUAUACUGAAAAUGGUGAUGGUAACUGUUAGAUCAGUAAUGGCAAAAUGUUUAUCUAAACAAGUCCUAUAUUUCUGAUAUAAAAUGCCUCAGUGUGUGUCUGCAGAUUUAUAGAAGGGGGAGAAAGGGAAAGAUUGAGUCCAUGGUGAGAGAGGAAAAGAAAAUAAGGACCCUCUGCAUGAUGUUUGCAGUAAAUUUCUCAGGCAGCUGAUGUUUAUACCAGCACUGUUCCCAUCAGAUUAAGGCACGUAAUGUAGGGACAUAAUCACCCUUAACUUCCCCUCGUAAUCAAGGGGUAAAAGCAGUCACACUGAUAUCCUGUGAUGUGUGCUCUGAAUUCUGAAGCUCUAAACAGAGUAUUCUGUAGAAUUUCCUUACGCCACUAACUAUAGAGGAUUCUAUGGUUGACCAAUUUCACUAUAGACUGAGGCAAUUAUUUGUGCCAGAUGGGAAGCCAGCCCAUAGAUGUAUUGCUCUGCAACAGAGGCUUGUCUCCAUGUUCAAACUAAAAUGUUGCCUUACUGCUCCAUCAAGCACAGCAUGGAAUGGAAAUACACAGCAAAAUCUUCUGUCUUCAGCCCUAAGCUUUUCUGAAUGAUAAAGAUGAUAAAGAGCCUGGAGCAUCUCCCGUAUGAGGAAAGGCUGAGUAACAUGGGUCUGUUUAACCUAGGGAAAAGAAGACUUAGAAGGGAUCUGAUUAAUGUUUAUAAAUAUCUAAAGGGAGGUGGGAAGCAAAUGAAUGAGGCCAGGCUCUUCUUAGUGGUGCGUAGUGAUAGGACAAGGAGUAAUGGCCUAAAACCUGAGCAUAGGAAGUUCUGUACUAACAUGUGGAAGAACUUCUUUACAGUAAGAGUGAUAGAGCACUGGAUCAGGCUGCCCAGAGAAGUUGUGGAGUCUCUUUCUCCAGGGAUAUUCAGGGAUAUUCAAGAACUAUUUCAACGCCCACCUGUGUGACCUGUUGUAGGGAACCUGCUUUAGCAGGGGUUGGACUCUUGAGGUCUCUUCCAAUUCCUGCAAUUCUGUGAUUCUGUGGGUAGAGAUUAAAAAUAAGAUAUAACAUUAUGUAAGAGAACACAGGAUAGAACAAACUUUAGUAUCAAGGAGAGGAUUUUGAAAGACAUAAGUCAUGCUGAAACAAAAGUGCUGCUGAAGGUGUUGUGUGUCUUUCUGCUCUUUAUAACUCCAGAAAUGUUCUUUCUCUAUAGCAAAUCCCAACUAAUUGGUCAAUUGAUCAAAAUAUAUUUCUUUUUUCACAAAAAUGUCUUAACAAAACCAAUUUGUAGAAACUCGUCAAACAUUUAUAUGGGGUGAUGCUUAUGAGAAAGUGAAAAAUAUUUAUGUUUUCAGAUUUUCAAGGAAAUCUGAACUAUUUCCAUGAACUUUCAUUUCACUUUGCCUGCAGAAGUGUUUUUUAUUACGCUUUUCAUCAAAUGAAUGAACUGAAAAUGUGAUUAGCUAAUUUAUUCUGGUAAAGAAAUAAUCAUACAGCAAUGCAGCAUUUUGAAAUAUUUCUAUGAAGCAGAUGGAAUGUGUUUGGUUUUUUUCCAGCUCUUAUGAUGUUGUGCAAAUACGUUGUCCCUUUCUUGUUGACUGCAACCUUAUUAAAGUAAAUGCAAUAGGUGAUGUGGCAAGGAUGAGCCAUAAAAACGUGCCAGAGAGGAUGAAAUCUGCAUGCCUGAAGCCAGGUACAGUCACGUGCAAAUUAGCAUUGUCCACAUUAACCUUAAUUUCCCAAAAUAAAACAGAAGAAGGCCUUAGUUACAAUACUGUUACUGCUCUCCGUUGCCAAAUUUCUGCCCACAGUGUAGUUUUAUGGAGAAUUCUGUGAGUUCAGAAAAUAAGUUUUGUGGAAAAGCUGCCAAAAAGAGAGCCUGCCCAUACUAGUAUAAACAUUGUUCUUACUGCUAUACAAAACUGCUUUGUAUAGUGCUGGAGGCUACCUCGGUGAUUUCUGAGAUGGCACUGUCUUCAUUACAAAUGCUCUGAAGGCAGUAGUUGUAGUUUGUGUGGCUCAGUAGAAAUAGCAGUAACCUACAGCCUACUGAAAUUCUGUGGCUGACCAAGAGUGCAGUUAUUCUUUAAUUGACAGUGGAAGAGUUCAAAGGGAAACCAGAAGCAGUCUCAAAAAAGCAACGAAAUGCGGCACAUCUGGGAGUGUGUAUAAAUCCACACUGUGUAUGAAGCCAUGAUCCUCAAAACUAAGGUCUUGUCUUUAGCCAGUGUACACACACACACACAGUGUAUGUAUAAGCACUAGUGGUGGCAACAGACAACCAUCAGCAGCUCAGACCCAAUAUCUGAAUUGUUGUUCUGUUAUUAAGCUACUCUUAUAAAGAAAGAACUGUUUCAUCCUCCUCCUCCUCACCCUUCACGAUAUCAGCAUCCCAUCUGACACCAUCAAGGGUGUAAUUUCCUUCACUUCAGACACUUUGAAAAUUUAACUGAGAAUAAAUGUUAUCUCUUUCACUGGUUGUAUAAGCAACCACAGCAAUUAUAUAACUGCC